rnacentral:rRNA from 1 species
CCUACGGGCGGCAGCAGUGGGGAAUAUUGCACAAUGGGGGACACCCUGAUGCAGCGACGCCGCGUGAGUGAAGGAGUAUUUCGGUAUGUAAAGCUCUAUCAGCCGGGACGACAUAGCGCCCUUUCUGUCUCCAGACGGUCCCUUAUUAACACGCCCCGGCUAACUACGUUCCGGCAGCCGCGGUAAUACGUAGGGGGCAAGCGUUAUCCGGAUUUACUGGUUGUAAAGGGAGAGUAGACGGCAGCGCAAGUCGGAAGUGAAAGGCCGGGGCUUAACCCCGGAACUGCUUUGGAAACUGUGCAGCUAGAGUGCAGGAGAGGUAAGUGGAAGUCCUAGUGUAGCGGUGAAAUGCGUAGAUAUUAGGAGGAACACCAGUGGCGAAGGCGGCUUACUGGACUGUAACUGACGUUGAGGCUCGAAAGCGUGGGGAGCAAACAGGAUUAGAUACCCCUGUAGUC